rnacentral:rRNA from 1 species
CCUACGGGAGGCAGCAGUGGGGAAUAUUGGACAAUGGGCGAAAGCCUGAUCCAGCAAUGCCGCGUGAGUGAUGAAGGCCUUAGGGUUGUAAAGCUCUUUUACCCGGGAUGAUAAUGACAGUACCGGGAGAAUAAGCUCCGGCUAACUCCGUGCCAGCAGCCGCGGUAAUACGGAGGGAGCUAGCGUUGUUCGGAAUUACUGGGCGUAAAGCGCACGUAGGCGGCUUUGUAAGUCAGAGGUGAAAGCCUGGAGCUCAACUCCAGAACUGCCUUUGAGACUGCAUCGCUUGAAUCCAGGAGAGGUGAGUGGAAUUCCGAGUGUAGAGGUGAAAUUCGUAGAUAUUCGGAAGAACACCAGUGGCGAAGGCGGCUCACUGGACUGGUAUGACGCUGAGGUCGAAAAG